rnacentral:rRNA from 1 species
CGCUGAGUUUGAUCCUGGCUCAGGAUGAACGCUAGCGGCAGGCUUAACACAUGCAAGUCGAGGGGUAUAGUUCUUCGGAACUAGAGACCGGCGCACGGGUGCGUAACGCGUAUGCAAUCUACCUUUUACAGAGGGAUAGCCCAGAGAAAUUUGGAUUAAUACCUCAUAGUAUGUGAGAAUCGCAUGGUUUUCACAUUAAAGUUCCAACGGUAAAACGAUGAGCAUGCGUCCCAUUAGCUAGAUGGUAAGGUAACGGCUUACCAUGGCGACGAUGGGUAGGGGUCCUGAGAGGGAGAUCCCCCGACACUGGUACUGAGACACGGACCAGACU